rnacentral:misc_RNA from 1 species
AAGUCGCAACAAGGUCUCCGUAGGUGAACCUGCGGGGGGAUCAUUAACGAGCAAGGGUGCGAACGCGCCCGACCUCCAACCCUUCUGUGUGCGAAACCCGUUGCCUCGGGGGCUUCGGCCCCCGGCAGGCCACCAAACAAACACUGCGUUCCAUGCGUCAGAGUAGAAUUUAUUAAAUUAAUCAAAA